rnacentral:lncRNA from 1 species
AGCGCCUCUGGUGGGCCGCCUCCCGCAGGCCUGGUGUGAGCCUGGGGUCCGUUCUCACAGCUGGAUCUGGGGUCUGAAUGCCGCGCCCUCUGGAGAGCCACAGAUGGGUCUCCGCUGAUGCUUCUCUCAAUUUCCUCUAAGAGCGAGAGCUCCGGGAAAGGAGCCGAUCCUGGUGGAAGACUACAGGUCUGAGUCCACUGGACGAAAAACGAGGCUCCUUGGAUUAGAGACCAUCCUGAGGACAUCCUUGGGAGCCAUGUGCUGAAGAUGGCCAAGCCACAGGAUGAAAGGAGCUGCAUCUUUGAGUCACCACUGGAGAAAGGUCUCUCUAAAUGGAUUUGCAGAGACGUCUUCUCGAAUACUCCCCUUCUAAGUUCCACUUGUAAUCCACUUCUUCUAUUCUCCCAGCAAUCAAUGUGGUUUGGGGAAAUUCCAGAAUCUCAUAAUACCUUGGUCAUGGGUAAAUAAGGAAAGGACCUUUACAUACAUGUGAUGCAAAGCAGAUCAAAACAAGCAGAGCAGCCUAAGAGCAGCAAGACCCCAAAGGAUAAGGGAAGUCCUGCAGAAGAGCAGAGCGGUGCUGCAAAGGCAGGCAGAGUUCAGCAGCAAUUUUAAAGAAGUACUGAACUCUACUGCCUGGAAGAUGGAAUGGCCCUCACAAUUCUUCCAGGCAAGCUCUGCACUCAGUGGUAUGGACCACAAGGCAAGCCCAUUAAGGGGUUAAAUUACUGACAAACAAUAAUUUCUAAAUAUGAACAUUUCAGGAGGAACUAAGAUGGCUCCUUCUUGGAGAAUAAGUUGGCCGGCUUCUCUAGUUAUCAGACUAUCAGAUGGGGAGGAAAGAGCCCCUCUGUCCCGGUGAGACAGGACCCGCCAGCGCCCAAGCUCUAAGGCUUUCUGAUGAGCAAAUGGGGUUUCCAUCUUUCUAGCUUCAGGACUCGUAACUACUCAGAUUAUUUCCUUCAAUCUGGAUAUUCAAGACAAGAACAGUUCAUGGUGUUGCGAAGGCCCAGAUUUAAAUCACAUAUGCAAAGAUACUGACAUUCAGUGGAGGGUCACUUAGAUUAUAGCCAGAU